rnacentral:rRNA from 1 species
GUACGAGCGCAACCCUUGUCCUUAGUUACCAGCACGUUAUGGUGGGCACUCUAAGGAGACUGCCGGUGACAAACCGAGGAAGGUGGGGAUGACGUCAAGUCAUCAUGGCCCUUACGGCCUGGGCUACACACGUGCUACAAUGGUCGGUACAAAGGGUUGCCAAGCCGCGAGGUGGAGCUAAUCCCAUAAAACCGAUCGUAGUCCGGAUCGCAGUCUGCAACUCGACUGCGUGAAGUCGGAAUCGCUAGUAAUCGUGAAUCAGAAUGUCACGGUGAAUACGUUCCCGGGCCUU